rnacentral:lncRNA from 1 species
GGGGAUAGCCAGAGCGACCUCUGAUGUUCUUGGCACCGAACCACAACAGGCACAGAAGGGGCCUUGAGAUCAUCCAGUGCAGCCCCUCCCUUUGCAGAGAGGAGCUGGGGCCCAGGAGGGGCGUGGUCUGGGCCCGUUUCCCGGGUCCUUCGCCAGCCAGCGCACUGGGCACCCCAGUGACGAUUUUCACAGGGAAGAGCCAAGCAUACAGUUGGCACCAGCCAAUGUUCCAAGGUUCCUCGGUUGGAAGCUUCCUUUGGACCUAAAAUCUGGUCACUGGGAGAAGCGGCUGUGACUCAGGUCUGGAAGUCCUCUUCCAUCUUUCCAAGGUGUGAUCAAAAAUACAGUGACUGUCACUACUGAGAACAAUGCAAGAGAAAGGAGGGCUCCUAAAAACAUCCCGGUGUGUCCACAUCCAGCUUAUUCACCAAUCUUGGACGUACAACUUCUGCCUCUUCCCCAAAGUCGAAAUGAUCAUGGAAGGAUAUCAAGGCAGCCACAACAGCACAACUAAAGACAUUCAUGAAAGAGGACUUCCAGAACUGCUUCAGAAAGUGGCAAGAAUGAUGAGAUAAGUAUUUUCAAAACAAGGGGAUUUGGCCGGGGAUUUAGCUCAGUGGUGUAGCCCCCUGCUACACAAGCGCAAGGACCCAAGCUCGAUCCCCAGUAUAAAAAAAAAAAAACACAAGAGGGUUUAUUUUAGAGAGGAUUAAUGGAAAAGUGGUUUUUACCAUAAUGAAUUUUAAAAAUUUAAAAAUUCACAGUAUAUUUCAAUCACAACAUUGUUCAUGGAGCAGGGGAUAAUUGACAUCUUUACUACACUGAGACUCUUGACCAUGAACACAAUAUACCUCUUGAUAUAUUUAGAUCUUUGGUUCUUCAUGUGUUUUGUAGUUUUCAGCAUAUGAGUAAGUCCUGUACAUGUUUUGCUAGAUUUAUACCUACAUUUUUUUGAGUGAUUGGAAAUGGUAUUAUUUUUAAUUUCAUUAUCCAUGUCUUCACUGCUAAAAUGGAAACACAACUGAUUUUUGUAUGUUUAUCUGACAUUAUUCAAUUUUACUGAACUUGUAUAUAAUUUCUAGUAGUUUAUUGUGUGUGUGUGUGUGUGUGUGCGCUUUUCUACAUAACCACCAUUUGUCAAAGGGGAUAGUUUUAUUUCUUCCUUUCCAAUCCAUACAUCUUUUAUUUGCUUUUCCCACUUGUUACACUGCUGUUGACAGCAGACAUCUUGCCUUGAUUUAGAUCUUGGAGAAAAUUAGUCUUUCACCAUGAAUGCUCUUUAUUGAA